GAUGAACGCUGGCGGCGUGCCUAAUACAUGCCAGUCGAGCGAACAGAUGAGGAGCUUGCUCCUCUGACGUUAGCGGCGGACGGGUGAGUAACACGUGGAUCACCUACUUAUUAGACUGGGAUAACUUCGGGAAACCGGAGCUAAUACCGGAUAAUAUAUUGAACCGCAUGGUUCAAUAGUGAAAGACGGUUUUGCUGUCACUUAUAGAUGGAUCCGCGCCGCAUUAGCUAGUUGGUAAGGUAACGGCUUACCAAGGCAACGAUGCGUAGCCGACCUGAGAGGAUGAUCGGCCACACUGGAACUGAGACACGGUCCAGACUCCUACGGGAGGCAGCAGUAGGGAAUAUUCCGCAAUGGGCGAAAGCCUGACGCAGCAACGCCGCGUGAGUGAUGAAGGUCUUCGGAUCGUAAAACUCUGUUAUUAGGGAAGAACAAAUGUGUAAUUAACUAUGGACGUCUUGACGGUACCUAAACAGAAAGCCACGGCUAACUACGUG
rnacentral:rRNA from 1 species